UUUGUCAGUGAUGUUUUUCCACACGCAAGUAUGAGUUUUAACGACCAUGAAUCCACUUCAUGCACUACCAGCUGAGACGAA